rnacentral:rRNA from 1 species
GAUGAACGCUGGCGGCGUGCCUAACACAUGCAAGUCGAACGAAGCACCUUACCUGAUUCUUCGGAUGAAGGUCUGGUGACUGAGUGGCGGACGGGUGAGUAACGCGUGGGUAACCUGCCCUGUACAGGGGGAUAACAGCUGGAAACGGCUGCUAAUACCGCAUAAGCGCACGAGGAGACAUCUCCUAGUGUGAAAAACUCCGGUGGUACAGGAUGGGCCCGCGUCUGAUUAGCUGGUUGGCAGGGUAACGGCCUACCAAGGCAACGAUCAGUAGCCGGUCUGAGAGGAUGAACGGCCACAUUGGAACUGAGGCACGGUCCAAACUCCUACGGGAGGCAGCAGUGGGGAAUAUUGCACAAUGGGGGAAACCCUGAUGCAGCAACGCCGCGUGAGUGAAGAAGUAUUUCGGUAUGUAAAGCUCUAUCAGCAGGGAAGAUAAUGACGGUACCUGACUAAGAAGCUCCGGCUAAAUACGUGCCAGCAGCCGCGGUAAUACGUAUGGAGCAAGCGUUAUCCGGAUUUACUGGGUGUAAAGGGUGCGUAGGUGGCAGUGCAAGUCAGAUGUGAAAGGCCGGGGCUCAACCCCGGAGCUGCAUUUGAAACUGCUCGGCUAGAGUACAGGAGAGGCAGGCGGAAUUCCUAGUGUAGCGGUGAAAUGCGUAGAUAUUAGGAGGAACACCAGUGGCGAAGGCGGCCUGCUGGACUGUUACUGACACUGAGGCACGAAAGCGUGGGGAGCAAACAGGAUUAGAUACCCUGGUAGUCCACGCCGUAAACGAUG